rnacentral:rRNA from 1 species
UACGAAGGGGGCUAGCGUUGCUCGGAAUUACUGGGCGUAAAGGGCGCGUAGGCGGAUAUUUAAGUUGGGGGUGAAAUCCCGGGGCUCAACCUCGGAAUUGCCUUCAAAACUGGAUAUCUUGAGUUCGGGAGAGGUGAGUGGAACUGCGAGUGUAGAGGUGAAAUUCGUAGAUAUUCGCAAGAACACCAGUGGCGAAGGCGGCUCACUGGCCCGGUACUGACGCUGAGGCACGAAAGCGUGGGGAGCAAACAGG